rnacentral:rRNA from 1 species
GAUGAACGCUGGCGGCGUGCCUAAUACAUGCAAGUCGAGCGAACGGACGAGAAGCUUGCUUCUCUGAUGUUAGCGGCGGACGGGUGAGUAACACGUGGAUAACCUACCUAUAAGACUGGGAUAACUUCGGGAAACCGGAGCUAAUACCGGAUAAUAUUUUGAACCGCAUGGUUCAAAAGUGAAAGACGGUUUUGCUGUCCCUUAUAGAUGGAUCCGCGCUGCAUUAGCUAGUUGGUAAGGUAACGGCUUACCAAGGCAACGAUGCAUAGCCGACCUGAGAGGGUGAUCGGCCACACUGGAACUGAGACACGGUCCAGACUCCUACGGGAGGCAGCAGUGGGGAAUCUUCCGCAAUGGGCGAAAGCCUGACGGAGCAACGCCGCGUGAGUGAUGAAGGUCUUCGGAUCGUAAAACUCUGUUAUUAGGGAAGAACAUAUGUGUGAGUAACUGUGCACAUCUUGACGGUACCUAAUCAGAAAGCCACGGCUAACUACGUG